UGUCAUAUUCUUCAAUAAUGCUAGGUACCCUACCCCAGGAAAAAGGAAGAAAAAAAUGUGUGAAUAAAAGAUAAAGCUGCGGUACCUAUUUUUUUUCCAUCCGGUGUUUAAAACUUGAUUGGAUCUUGUACUGUAAUGCUCAUUUAGGUUGACGCUUUCAAUAGAAUUUUCUCCAUAUUCAGGCUCGAACCCGAAACCUCUGAUUUGAUGAUAAGCUGCGUUAGUAUUGGUGUAAGUUGUUGAUAACUUAAGCAGAGAUCGAAAAUACAGAAGCACAAUACUAAUAUUCACUUGUUCAUCAUCUUGUUGAUAAUUGUUGGGUUAACUUUGAGCUCAUUUUCAAGGCAUGAAGAUAAUUAUUCGGAGAAAUAUGCAGUGAUAUUUGACGCUGGAAGCACUGGUAGCAGAGUUCAAGUCUUCCGUUUUAACUCAAAUAUGGGCCUCCUCAAUAUUGCCAAUGAUCUUGAGCUCUUCUUGCCGAUAAAACUAGGUCUGAGUUCAUAUGCAGAUGAUCCAAAGGCUGCUGCAAAUUCUCUAAAGCCCCUUCUUGAGAAAGCUGAAGCUGUUGUUUCUAAGAAUUGACAGUCUCAAACCCCUCUUAAAAUUGGGGCAACUGCAGGGCUGAGGUUGUUAAAGGGUGAUUCAUCCCAAAAGAUUCUGCAAGCAGUACAUUUUUUACCCUUUAUUUCCCUUCAUUAAUCGGAAAAUUGAUCUUAAUUAUUGUAUUAUUUGUUAAUCCUUCAUAGCACAAAUUAAUCUAACUAGUUUAAUUAUUAUUUUUUUCUUAUUAUCAUUCCUUGAUUAUGUUGGGAUAUAUAAUAUUAACCAUGGAAUAUAUACUAUUAAUCAUGAGUUUGGAUAUAGUAUUUAUCAUAGAACAAUUGUUUAUUCAAUUUUAAUAAAAGCUUUAAUAGAUCAUA